CUGCUGAUUCAGUAGUCUAGAUUUAAUUUUCAAAGGCAUUUUAAUGGGAAAAUCCACAUCAGAUUUCACAUCCAUCAAAAUGUAGAUUCAACACUGCAUAGUACAUCUCAUAUAAACUCUAAAGAAGUGAAUGGCAGCAAGGGUUCUGAGAAUGUUUAUGUGAUCUGAUUUUCCGUUGGAUCAGUUAAUUUUUUGAUCCUUCACCUUUUUAAAAGAGCCAAACCUUUGGUUUAGAUUUAACUUCUCUCCAUCCACACUAUCUACGCCAUCUAGUGGUUUUAAAUGUUAUAUCCUUGGUUUUUAAGAAGAUUCCUAACGACUGGGGGCGGGGCGGGGUACACGACAAACAAAACGGUUGGCCGUGACAAUUUUCCCGUCCCUCUUUCCACCUCACUUACCCAUCACACGGACUCCUUAUCUACUUUAACCAUUUUAGAUAUGCGCUGAGAUGGGCAGUGAGGACGAAGGGUACGCACACUCUCAGAGACGCACGCCCCUUGACGCUGACAUUUAGAAAGGGUUCUAAAUCCUGUCAUUCGCAAAGGACAGGAAAAAGGAGUUGUGACAAGACCUGGACAGAGGAGAAUGCUUGACUUCUUAUCAAGUUAGAUAGAUGACAUAGUCACCCCGGGAACGUUAACAUCUAUUUUGGGGGAAAAAAAAUAAAGAAAGAGGAAAGAGGGAAAAGCACUUAAAAAUUCCGCCGCGGAGCUUUGCAGGUCUUGCGAUCUAGUUGCCCCCAGAAGACAACCAAUUCCUGCGCGUUCCGCUCCGCUCACCCUCCUUCCCAGCUUCUCGAGUUUUUUCCCCCCCUUUCCCUUUCCCACGUUCGCCUUGAACCCGGCCUCGGGAGGCAGAAGCGAGGCACGGGUUCCCUUCCUCCUCGCCUCCACCAAAGCACCGCAGCCGAGCGCUGGAAGCUUCCCUUUGUUCCUCCGAGGCUCGUUCUCCUCCCGGGCAGAACCACCUGGAUGCUCUCCCUCGAGCGGCGCGGGGAGCUCGUGGAGAUGCAGGACCACCCACUGGCGGCAGGGAAGCAGCGAGCAGCCCUCCCGCGC
rnacentral:lncRNA from 1 species